rnacentral:rRNA from 1 species
UGCAUGGUUGUCGUCAGCUCGUGUCGUGAGAUGUUGGUUAAGUCCCGCAACGAGCGCAACCCUCGACCUUAGUUGCCAGCAUUCAGUUGGGCACUCUAAGGUGACUGCCGGCUAAAAGUCGGAGGAAGGUGGGGAUGACGUCAAAUCAUCAUGCCCCUUAUGACCUGGGCUACACACGUGCUACAAUGGGCGGUACAAAGGGUCGCGAACCGCGAGGGGAGCCAAUCCCAAAAAGCCGCUCUCAGUUCGGAUUGCAGGCUGCAACUCGCCUGCAUGAAGCCGGAAUCGCUAGUAAUCGCGGAUCAGCAUGCCGCGGUGAAUACGUUCCCGGGCCUU